rnacentral:rRNA from 1 species
UGUAAGUAAGCGUUGAUCCAGAGAUUUCCGAAUGGGGGAACCCAACAUGAGUGAUGUCAUGUUAUCGACAUGUGAAUUCAUAGCAUGUCAGAAGGCAGACCCGGAGAACUGAAACAUCUUAGUACCCGGAGGAAGAGAAAGAAAAAUCGAUUCCCUGAGUAGCGGCGAGCGAAACGGGAAGAGCCCAAACCAACAAGCUUGCUUGUUGGGGUUGUAGGACACUCUAUACGGAGUUACAAAAGAACAUGUUAGACGAAUCAUCUGGAAAGAUGAAUCAA